rnacentral:lncRNA from 1 species
UAAAAGGCCAGGCCCAGACGAUUAGGAUUAGCUUGUUGGUAGAUCUCUCUCCGUCGCCGGGAAAUGGCAACAGCAAUAGCUCCGUCGUCUCUAACAUCCACGAGUAUCAUAUCAGGUCCCCUUUCAUCAUAUCGAAAAUUUUACAUUUCCUAUUUUUAUGUGCUCUUAAACCGAAAUUUGGUGCAUUGAGAAUCUGAAGGGCUUAACUAUAUUUUUUUUUCUUUCUUUUUGGGUCUUCUGUACGGAAUGGCAUCUGAUGAUGCCGCUCAAAAAACGGUUAAUACAUUAUCUAGUUAGGGUAAUGAAACUUGAGAUAUGCUCAAAUCACGGAUAGGGAGCAAAGUGAGAGACCCAUGUCUUUUUUUUGGCCAUCUUUGUCAAAGUGUUCUUAUAAAUCUCGAACAUUUGUAAUUCUUUUGGAACUGAUCUGGUUUCAUUGCAAAACAGAUGUCCAACAAAUGAGUUCUCAUCAUAUAUGAUUCUUAAAAGAAUCUUUCUUGCAAGAAACACUUAGUUCCUUUAUUCAACACAUGAAUACAAAUCAGAAUCUGAAAAUCUUUCAAGAACCGGGAUGGUUUUUCACUUCUGUUUCUCUAUAAUCUUUCCUUGUUUUUUUGCCUUUGCAGAGAGUCAACUAUCCUUUUGGAGAUGCAGUAAGCAGCAGAUUGAAUGGUGAUCAUUGGGUUUACACCAACAGCAGAAGGCAACAC